rnacentral:tRNA from 2 species
GCGGGAAUAGCUCAGCUGGUAGAGCGCAACCUUGCCAAGGUUGAGGUCGCGAGUUCGAACCUCGUUUUCCGCUCCA